ACUUUCAGUAUUUUUGGAUAUUCUCUAGUUUAAUAGUGCAGUUAAUGGCCUGAUUAAUUUUUCAUCACUUGACAGCUGCUUUUGGGUGAGGGGAGGGAGACGCUUAGCUUAUGACACCUGUUGGAAAGGGCCUGACCUCUUAAGUGCUGGACACCCACUCUUUGAAAAUUAAGGACCCUUUAAGAUGUCAACUUGAGCACCAAAAUCACUGGUCAUCUCUGGAAAGUUGAAGCUUUAGACAAAGCUUCCUAGCUGAAGCUACUUUCAACUUCUGUUUUGUAUUAAAACUCCAGCGCUAGACAGCACAAUCCUGGGAUAACUCUAGCCUCCCAUCUCUAACUAGUAUUUCCCAUUCUUCUCCCAAAGCUUGGCUACCCCUCCGUGCUCCGGCUGGUAUGGCACUCUGACAGGGAGCGAUAGCUGUGCGGUUAUUCCCUAUCUGAGUGGACCUAAGCCAGACACCGCCCCGCUGCUCUUCACAUGUAGUGAUUUGGAAGCUAACAAUCACCACAGCUUAUACUCAACGCCACAGAACUGAAGAGCCCGCCAAGAUUUGCUUCUCUUGGGGGCAGCUUUCACGGGAGUCCGAUCAUUCUCCAAACAUCUAACUCCAUCUGCACAAACAUUCCAUCCUCUCUAGCAGCUGUAACCCAGGAGCUGGAGACUUAAGCUGCGUGUGAAAAAUGCCACCUAAAGCGAACCGAAUGAGUGUGGUUACUGUAGUGAGAGCAUGUGGCAAUAAGGCCUGCUUCUUGCAGGGUGGCUUCUUCAAGCCAACCUAACAGUCAGUCUGGAUAAGAGUGGUGUGAGCAUUUUAUUUUGGCCCAAACCCAUCCAUAACACAGCUUUUUCAUACUACGAUCUGUUCGCUGCAUUCCCUAGUGGAGCCAAUGCUUAAUCUGCCUUUGGGAGAAUAGCAAUUUUAUAUUUAUCCUGACUGAAUAUAAGCUAGAGGUCAUUCUUGGCCAUGAAAGCAAAGAGAAGUUUUCAUGUACUGCUUUCUCUGACCGAAAUCAUGAAGCCUGCAGUGUGGCACCUGCAUGCCACUAUUUGGGACUGCCUCAAAACUUCGAGUUCUCCUGUCUUUUCAGACUGUUUGAGGAAUAAGUGUCCCAUGACAUUCCGCUGACUGUACUGUAAAAGUAGUGCAAUGUGACCUGAACUAAGGGGGCCACUCGCAUUGAAGUAUUAGAUAAAUGUUGGCAUCUCAUUGUAGGGUGUGCACUGGAGGGUGGGUCUAGUGAGUGAGAAGCAUUUAAUGGAAAUGGUGUAGGCUUUUUAACAUCCAGGAUUUUAUUCUGGCAGGAUGUUGGCCUUUAAAUCACUUUUUUAACUGUGUCUAAAAGCACCCGAUUCAAAACAGAAAAGCAAGAUGUGGCUGUAAGGAUGCACAGGUGUUUGGAUUAGGCUCUAAAGUGAGCUCUUAAAUAUACUGUUGGCUUACACAGAUAGUAGCUCCUACAAGGAAAAGCAUGCCUCUGUGGCAAAGCUGCUAUCUCCAGCCUGUAGUGACUUCCCCCAGGAUCUCUCCACCUUUAGAAGCUGAAACUGGAAACAGUUGGCAUAUGUUGCUGAUCAGCAGGACCAGCUCCUGCCAUCAACUGCAUGUACUUUCCAAGGGUGUGCUUUUGUUUUUAAACUUGAAUUAAGAUUUGAUGUUAGAGUAAAACUUCACUGAGGGACUGAACAGGACCACAUAAUCUGUAGGACAGUGGGGAAGUGUUGUCCCCCCCACCCCCCCAAUAGACAAGUGAGGUUACCACUGGCACAUGGAACAUGACUGAAGCGACUGAGCCUUUAAAAUGCUGAUUCCCAGGCUCACAGCUGUAUGGUGGGACUGGACACACACACACUUACUUUUCCAAGAAUAGACUCUUUGGUUCUCAAAGAAGGUAACAGAGACUUGGGGGCAGGCCUCGGAUCUGUGUGGGAAAACAUUUAAGCGCCCUGUGAGCAUAUCGACAUCCUUGCUGUUACUGAGCUACUUCUGAACCCCCUUUCUCUGUAUAACCCCCACUCAGAAACUGAGCAGCUGGCUCGAGGUGUAGCAGGUCCUCUAAUGUCCUCAUUUUACACUCUUGCUCACUGGUCCAAAACGAAGGCAACCCAUGCUCUUUCCUCUAAAGGCUCGGAGACUAUUCUUGGCAGAUCACUGGAUUCUUCUCGCUCGAAUACUUGAGCUAGAAAGGAGGUUUAUUUUAGCUUCCAUUGUAUGACCCGUCUCAUUACCUAGGGUGGGAUUCAGAAACUGGUUGCUCUGUCUUGAUCGCCGCUUGACUUAUGGUGAAACUAGCUAAGGAUCUGGACUCCAGCCGCAGUCCUUCUCUUCCUCUCCCAUAAGUCACCAAAGAUGCAAAGUUCAGCCACUGGCCCCUGUUCUUGCUUAAAAGAAAAAGUCCAAAGCACUAGGAGCACUUUAAGUUUCCUUUGGAGGGAAGAGAGUGUUGCGCAAAAAAAAAAAAAAAGGGCUACCGGCUCAUUGUUCAUAUUGCACUGACGCACAGAACGACAAGAUGAUCUUCCUCUCAUUAGGAUCACAGACCAGGGCCGUGAGUCUCGUUGCUUAAGUGUGUACCAGUGAGUGACUAGCAAUCUUUUUUUGUUUUUUUAUUACUUUGUAUGGAUGGCCAUUAAUGUCAGAACUGCAACCGCUCAGUGUGGGGCCGGCCUUGUGUUUUACUGAAGUAAUUUAUAGCUGAUGUGUACAAUGACUUUUAUAUGCAUAGUUGCCUUUCAUUCCAUUUUUUUCGGUAACGGUUUAACUGUUUCUCAGCUUCACAGCCAGUUGAGAGCUGGUUGCACCAGGAAGCUGUGGCCAAUGAAUGUACCUAUUUGUUGUUGUUCACUAAACUGUAACCAAGCACUACGAUGUUGAAUAAAAAAUUCUUCUGUGCUAUUUA